rnacentral:rRNA from 1 species
GAUGAACGCUGGCGGCGUGCCUAAUACAUGCAAGUCGAGCGAACAGACGAGGAGCUUGCUCCUCUGACGUUAGCGGCGGACGGGUGAGUAACACGUGGAUAACCUACCUAUAAGACUGGGAUAACUUCGGGAAACCGGAGCUAAUACCGGAUAAUAUAUUGAACCGCAUGGUUCAAUAGUGAAAGACGGUUUUGCUGUCACUUAUAGAUGGAUCCGCGCCGCAUUAGCUAGUUGGUAAGGUAACGGCUUACCAAGGCAACGAUGCGUAGCCGACCUGAGAGGGUGAUCGGCCACACGGGAACUGAGACACGGUCCAGACCCCUACGGGAGGCAGGAGUAGGGAAUCUUCCGCAAUGGGCGAAAGCCUGACGGAGCAACGCCGCGUGAGUGAUGAAUGUCUUCGGAUCGUAAAACUCUGUUAUUAGGGAAGAAAAAAUGUGAAAGUAACUAUCCACGUUUUGACUGUACCAAAUCAAAAAGCCACGGCUAACUACGU